rnacentral:rRNA from 1 species
UACGUAGGGUGCGAGCGUUGUCCGGAAUUAUUGGGCGUAAAGAGCUCGUAGGCGGUGUGUCGCGUCGGCCGUGAAAACCUGGGGACUUAACUCUGGGCGUGCGGUCGAUACGGGCAUCACUGGAGUUCGGCAGGGGAGACUGGAAUUCCUGGUGUAGCGGUGAAAUGCGCAGAUAUCAGGAGGAACACCGGUGGCGAAGGCGGGUCUCUGGGCAACACUGACGCUGAGGAGCGAAAGCGUGGGGAGCGAACAGG